UAACCGUAUAGGGGAGCCGCAGGGAAACCGAGUCUUAACCGGGCGUUAAGUUGCAGGGUAUAGACCCGAAACCCGGUGAUCUAGCCAUGGGCAGGUUGAAGGUUGGGUAACACUAACUGGAGGACCGAACCGACUAAUGUUGAAAAAUUAGCGGAUGACCUGUGGCUGGGGGUGAAAGGCCAAUCAAACCGGGAGAUAGCUGGUUCUCCCCGAAAGCUAUUUAGGUAGCGCCUCGUGAAUUCAUCUCCGGGGGUAGAGCACUGUUUCGGCUAGGGGGCCAUCCCGGCUUACCAACCCGAUGCAAACUGCGAAUACCGGAGAAUGUUAUCACGGGAGACACACGGCGGGUGCUAACGUCCGUCGUGAAGAGGGAAACAACCCAGACCGCCAGCUAAGGUCCCAAAGUCAUGGUUAAGUGGGAAACGAUGUGGGAAGGCCCAGACAGCCAGGAUGUUGGCUUAGAAGCAGCCAUCAUUUAAAGAAAGCGUAAUAGCUCACUGGUCGAGUCGGCCUGCGCGGAAGAUGUAACGGGGCUAAACCAUG
rnacentral:rRNA from 1 species